rnacentral:rRNA from 1 species
AUUGAACGCUGGCGGCAUGCUUUACACAUGCAAGUCGGACGGCAGCACAGAGAAGCUUGCUUCUUGGGUGGCGAGUGGCGAACGGGUGAGUAAUAUAUCGGAACGUACCGAGUAAUUGGGGAUAACUAAUCGAAAGAUUAGCUAAUACCGCAUAUUCUCUGAGGUGGAAAGCCGGGGACCUUCGGGCCUUGCGUUAUUCUAUCGGCCGAUAUCUGAUUUGCUAGUUGGUGGGGUAAAGUCCUACCAAGGCGACGAUCAGUAGCGGGUCUGAGAGGAUGAUACGACAAACUGGAAGUGAGACACGGACCAGAGUCAUACGGGAGGAAGCAGUGGGGAAUGUUGGACAAGGGGCGCAAGCAUGAUACAGCCAAGCCGCGUGUCUGAAGAAGGACUGCGGGUUGUAAAGGACUUUUGUCAGGGAAGAAAAGGAUGUUGCUAAUAACGACAGAUGAUGACGGUACCUGAAGAAUAAGCACCGGCUAACUACGUG